AAUCAACGCUGGCGGCGUGCCUAACACAUGCAAGUCGCGCGCGAAAGGGGGGCAACUCCCAAGUAGAGCGGCGAACGGGUGAGUAACACGUGGGUAAUCUACCUUCGAGUGGGGAACAACACCGGGAAACUGGUGCUAAUUCCGCAUAACAUCGUCGGGGCUUCGGUUCUGACGCUCAAAGCUGGGGAUCGCAAGACCUAGCGCUUGAAGAUGACGCCCGCGUCCGAUUAGCUAGNGGCGGGGUAAUGGCCCACCAAGGCUUCGAUCGGUAGCCGGCCUGAGAGGGGCGGACGGCCACACU
rnacentral:rRNA from 1 species